UGGGAAUAUUGGACAAUGGGCGAAAGCCUGAUCCAGCCAUGCCGCGUGUGUGAAGAAGGUCUUCGGAUUGUAAAGCACUUUAAGUUGGGAGGAAGGGCAUUUACCUAAUACGUAAGUGUUUUGACGUUACCGACAGAAUAAGCACCGGCUAACUCUGUGCCAGCAGCCGCGGUAAUACAGAGGGUGCAAGCGUUAAUCGGAAUUACUGGGCGUAAAGCGCGCGUAGGUGGUUUGUUAAGUUGGAUGUGAAAUCCCCGGGCUCAACCUGGGAACUGCAUUCAAAACUGACAAGCUAGAGUAUGGUAGAGGGUGGUGGAAUUUCCUGUGUAGCGGUGAAAUGCGUAGAUAUAGGAAGGAACACCAGUGGCGAAGGCGACCACCUGGACUGAUACUGACACUGAGGUGCGAAAAGCGUGGGGAGCAAAACAGGAUUAGAUACCCUGGUAGUCCACGCCGUAAACGAUGUCAACUAGCCGUUGGGAGCCUUGAGCUCUUAGUGGCGCAGCUAAACGCAUUAAGUUGACCGCCUGGGGAGUACGGCCGCAAGGUUAAAACUCAAAUGAAUUGACGGGGUCAUAGCUGUUUCCUG
rnacentral:rRNA from 1 species